GACGUAGGGUGCGAGCGUUGUCCGGAUUUAUUGGGCGUAAAGAGCUCGUAGGCGGCUCGUCGCGUCUGCCGUGAAAACCCGCAGCUCAACUGCGGGCUUGCGGUUGAUACGGGCGGGCUGGAGUUCGGUAGGGGAGACUGGAAUUCCUGGUGUAGCGGUGAAAUGCGCAGAUAUCAGGAAGAACACCCGUGGCGAAGGCGGCUCUCUGGGACGGUACUGACGCUGAGACGCGAAAGCGUGGGGAGCGAACAGG
rnacentral:rRNA from 1 species